rnacentral:rRNA from 1 species
GACGAACGCUGGCGGCGUGCUUAACACAUGCAAGUCGAACGGAAAGGCCCCUUUGGGGGUACUCGAGUGGCGAACGGGUGAGUAACACGUGAGUAACCUGCCCUUGACUUCGGGAUAACUUCAGGAAACUGGGGCUAAUCCCGGAUAGGAAUCCUUGCUGCAUGGUGGGGGUUGGAAAGCUUCGGCGGUUUUGGAUGGACUCGCGGCUUAUCAGCUUGUUGGUGGGGUAGUGGCUUACCAAGGCUUUGACGGGUAGCCGGCCUGGGAGGGCGACCGGCCACAUUGGGACUGGGAUACGGACCAGACUCCUACGGGAGGCAGCAGUGGGGAAUAUUGCACAAUGGGCGGAAGCCUGAUGCAGCAACGCCGCGGGCGGGAUGAUGGGCUUCUGGUUGGAAACGGCUUUCAGCAGGAGCGAAGCAUGUGGUGACGGUACCUGCAGAAGAAGCACCGGCUAACUACGUG